GCUUUGGUGGUUCAGUGGUAGAAUUUUUGCCUGCCAUACAGGAGUUCUGGGUUCAAUUCCCAGCCAAAGCA